ACAUUUAUAAGGUUUAUCUCCAGUGUGUGUUCUUAUGUGACUCAGUAAGCUAUUACUCUGACUAAACCCUUUACCACAUACAUCACAUUUAUAGGAUUUAUCUCCAGUGUGUGUUCUCAAGUGUGUCUGUAAGUUACCAAUCUGACUAAACCCUUUACCACAUACAUCACAUUUAUAAGGUUUAUCUCCAGUGUGUGUUCUAAUGUGUUUCUGUAAGUCACCAUUCUGACUAAACCCUUUACCACAUACAUCACAUUUAUAAGGUUUAUCUCCAGUAUGUGUUCUCAUGUGUCUCUGUAAGUUACCAAAAUCACUAAACCCAGUACCACAUACAUCACAUUUAUAAGGUUUAUCUCUAGUGUGUGUUCUCAUGUGUUUCUGUAAAUCUUGACUCUGACUAAACCCUUUACCACAAACAUCACAUUUAAAAGGUUUAUCUCCAGUGUGUGUUCUCAUGUGUGUCUGUAAGUUACAACUCACACUAAACCCUUUACCACAUACAUCACAUUUA
rnacentral:lncRNA from 1 species